AUGGUGGGCACUGGUCAGAUCUCAGGGAAGACCGGGCUCAAACUUGCUGCAGAGGAGUACUGCCCUGUACUAGAAUAUCAUGAUGGCCAUGGCAAAGCAGUUCCUGUAGGCGUUGCUGCUCCUGUUGUCCAACCCCUUCCUGGCCUUUCCAGGUUGGGUUCCCGUGAGCGGCGUCAUCAGCUUAGGCACCAACCUCGUCUCCUCAAGUUUGAUGGUCCAGUCCCCAGUGAGGAAGAAAUCUUAGUCGACGACGCUGGCAGUGGCACUAGCUCCAGUGCCCCUGCUCUUGCAGCAUUCGAGCAUAUUUUUAUCCGCAGCUUGAAAGGGGAGGAUGAAGGAAUUUUGCAGCUACUAUGCCAUACACCAUUAGAAGAUAAAGACACUCCUUGUGUCUUCGCUCCCCCCUUGUGUGUUUAUGAUGGCAGCUCCGCAUCAUGGUGCGAGGCACCGGUGGCUGCAGAAUGGCUGGAAGAGAGUUAUCCUGCAUGGGCACAUAGACCAGGAUACAUUGUACAUUGUAUCUCAGGAUAUAGCAACAUGAGAUGUUCAAGUUGGAGGAUGUUAUCCAAUGAGAUGAAGAAUGAAGGUUUUGAUGUCAAGUAUGAGAAUGAUGCAAGGAUCUGCAUCUUGGUGGAAGGAUGUGAGGAUGGGGCUGUAGUUUCCCACUAG
rnacentral:rRNA from 1 species